rnacentral:rRNA from 1 species
UACAGAGGGUGCAAGCGUUGUUCGGAAUUAUUGGGCGUAAAGGGCGCGUAGGCGGUGCUGUAAGUCUGUAGUGAAAUCUCUGGGCUCAACUCAGAGUCUGCUAUAGAAACUGCAGUGCUAGAGUGUGGGAGAGGUGAGUGGAAUUCCCGGUGUAGCGGUGAAAUGCGUAGAUAUGGGAGGAACACCUGUGGCGAAAGCGGCUCACUGGACCACAACUGACGCUGAGGCGCGAAAGCUAGGGGAGCAAACAGG